UCGAGUCUCGUUUCUUUCGUGGCCGUGGAUUUCCUUGCUUUCUCUUGGCUCAACCAAACUCGCCGUUAAUCGCGAGUCGUUGCUCCCGUCGCACCGUGCGAAUCGCCCUUAGAUUGCUCGGUGUCGCCGCCACACGCGAAUGCAACAACGUGCAUGUCGAAUGGAUCCUUCCACUUUUUCCAUUAUCAAAGCCACUCCCUUUUGAUCGUCGAUCAACAGGAAGAUUCCAUAGUGGAUCGAAAUGCCGUGGAUGACAUAAUCCAUCCAUGCAACGGACCCAUCGAUCGCGAAGAACACAGGCGACGGGAAGCGAGCCGAUUCUUUUAUGGCGUACUCGAUCCGAGAUUCAAAAGGGCAGCGAGCCACGAAUGCGAAUCGCGGUGUUGGUCGGUGUAUGGAAAAGGAAAUCGACCGGCGAUCGGGAUUUAUUAUUCAACACACGGAGCCCGGACGUUCCUUCCUUCUUGAAGCAUUCCACGAUAUACGAUACUCGAUGCCAGUCGAAGACAGCACCUCUUGCAAGCAUCGUGUGUUUGAGCGAAGAUCGACGGAAAUAGCGUGCACGACCUUCUUCUCUCUUCCUGUAUCUACGUAAUCGUUGAUCAAAUUCGAAGAUUUCUUCGUGACAGAAAAUGGAAUUCGGUAGCGAACAGCGUUGCCAUAGUCUGUCGGAGAGUCUUCCAAGAAAAAUUUCCAUGGGGUUGAUACGCAGGACCUUGGAAAGAAGAAAAUUGCGAAAAUCUUUGAUGACAGAAGACGCUUUUCUCUUCGUCAAAAGACCAACAAAUACGAUGGAACAAUGUGAAGAUAAAAAAGAUGUGUGUUCGAUGUUUCCGGUGUGCAAGGAAGAAGUUAGGA